rnacentral:rRNA from 1 species
UAGGGAAUCUUCCGCAAUGGGCGAAAGCCUGACGGAGCAACGCCGCGUGAGUGAUGAAGGUCUUCGGAUCGUAAAACUCUGUUAUUAGGGAAGAACAAAUGUGUAAGUAACUAUGCACGUCUUGACGGUACCUAAUCAGAAAGCCACGGCUAACUACGUGCCAGCAGCCGCGGUAAUACGUAGGUGGCAAGCGUUAUCCGGAAUUAUUGGGCGUAAAGCGCGCGUAGGCGGUUUUUUAAGUCUGAUGUGAAAGCCCACGGCUCAACCGUGGAGGGUCAUUGGAAACUGGAAAACUUGAGUGCAGAAGAGGAAAGUGGAAUUCCAUGUGUAGCAGUGGAAUGCGCAGAGAUAUGGAGGAACACCAGUGGCGAAGGCGACUUUCUGGUCUGUAACUGACGCUGAUGUGCGAAAGCGUGGGGAUCAAACAGG